rnacentral:tRNA from 1 species
GUCCCGUUCGUUUAGCGGCAGGACGCAACCCUCUCACGGUUGUAGCAGCGGUUCGAAUCCGCUACGGGAUACC